rnacentral:rRNA from 1 species
GACGAACCGUCCAAACGUUGUUCGGAAUCACUGGGCUUAAAGGGCGCGUAGGCGGGCUGCCAAGUCCGGGGUGAAAUCCUCCAGCUCAACUGGAGAACUGCCUCGGAUACUGGAAGUCUCGAGGAGGGUAGGGGCAUGCGGAACCGUGGGUGGAGCGGUGAAAUGCGUUGAUAUCUACAGGAACUCCGGUGGCGAAAGCGACGUGCUGGACCUCUUCUGACGCUGAGGCGCGAAAGCUAGGGGAGCAAACGGG